rnacentral:misc_RNA from 1 species
AGUCUAGUUUUGUCUAGCGUCCAAGGUCAGUGUUUGUUCAUGAUAUGUAUGUGGUUGGCAAUUUUAAGAUGUAUCUAUUUUAUUUUGCUUCAGUGUGGUUCAAGUCAACCUCGUUGCCACAUUUCCCCUUCUUUACACUUGCAUUUUCCCCACACAAUUUUUAUGAUAUUGUCGGAGUGUAAAAUAGUGUUUUGGUGUUAAUAAUUGUAACAGACCAGUUAUUUGUAUCAUAUUCAUGUUUUCUGGUAAUUUGAAAUUAAUGCUUAUUGUGAGUUUAUACUGAACUAUGUACACUCUUGCAUGCAUUUAUUCCCCUCCCUCUCCAGUAGUUGCAUAAUGAAUGAAAGGGUUUAUUUCUGUAAACUGCCACACCACACGGGUGAAUGAAUGAAUCUACUGUAUGCUUCAUAGAUGUACUAUGCCUAUAUUUUUCUCCCUUCCCUUUCCCCAUUAUUUUUGAUUCAAGAAGUUUGUGUAAUAAAUCUUUUUAAGUUUUAUUUCUGUUAUUACAACAAUUAUAUAGAUUUGGCCUUUGGUCCGUUACUGUAGUUAAACAUCUGGAAAGUUGCUUACGUUUUCCAUUGUCUUUGUUUGAUAAACCUACAUUUGAAUCGACAGUUAGUUGAUGGGCCAGCAGAGAUAUGCCCUGUUCUGUAGAUCUUUUGUUAGCACGGUGCAGUGUUUUUGUUGGUAUGAGUUAAUUGAUGAUUGACAUGAUAUAUGAACUAUAAAAAAUAAAUACCGAUAAAUUUUG